rnacentral:rRNA from 1 species
GAUGAACGCUGGCGGCGUGCCUAAUACAUGCAAGUCGAGCGAACAGACGAGGAGCUUGCUCCUCUGACGUUAGCGGCGGACGGGUGAGUAACACGUGGAUAACCUACCUAUAAGACUGGGAUAACUUCGGGAAACCGGAGCUAAUACCGGAUAAUAUAUUGAACCGCAUGGUUCAAUAGUGAAAGACGGUUUUGCUGUCACUUAUAGAUGGAUCCGCGCCGCAUUAGCUAGUUGGUAAGGUAACGGCUUACCAAGGCGACGAUGCGUAGCCGACCUGAGAGGGGGAUCGGCCACAGUGGAACUGAGACACGGUCCAGACUCCUACGAGAGGCAGCAGUAGGGAAUCUUCCGCAAUGGGCGAAAGCUUGACGGAGCAACGCCGCGUGAGUGAUGAAGGUCUUCGGAUCGGAAAACUCUGUUAUUAGGGAAGAACAAAUGUGUAAGUAACUAUGCACGUCUUGACGGUACCUAAUCAGAAAGCCACGGCUAACUACGUG